UCAGUCGCCUCAUCGGAUCUGCGGUGUGAGACUUGCCAGGUCUCUGGCAACUCUACUGUUGCCUUUAAUCAUAGCCUUACCCAGUCAACUGUGUGGCUGUUUGGCGCCAGCAAUAUUUCUAAGUUGCGUCCUCUUUUUCUGCUUGGCUUUGAAAAUUGUAAUAUGAUUUUCAGUCUUUUUUUCCCCUUCAUGUUAUUAGGAGAAGGAGAACCACAAAAAGAUAUUUGCUGUUAAUUGAACUAACUUUUUUUUUGUUUUCGUUCAUUUAUUUUUCUCUCCACAGAAGCUGCACCUGAUGAGGCAUUCAGUUUCGGCUGUGGUGCCGUACUGGAAGAGGACAUUGGUUGAGAUAAUGCUGUCAUCAGCAAAUCCUUCUUCAUAUUCUGCUCUUAACUUUUUAUGAACAUCAAAAAUAAUCCAACAUCAGUUCUGCUUUUUUGUUUGUUUGUUUUUUCGUGUGUGUGUAUCUGCUCCAAUCCCCAGUCGGUCGUCAUCGCUUGUAUUGAGCCGGGUUCUGCUGGAGGUGUCUUCCAGUUUAAGGAGAGUUUUUCCAUUCCACUGUCACCACUUGCAUGACGGACCACUUUAAAGUCAACAACUCAAUGCAAGCGGUUUCCUGCUGUUGCUACGUGCUCAUCCAGGAGGAGUGAAUGAUGAAAAUCAAUAACUCGAUACCAUCUGCCAAAUUAACCUUGCUGUAUUGUUUAACUAGGAUCAAUUGAAAUGUAUCUGUGAUAGAAUUGAAAUGAUUGAUGUACUUUUUGUGUUGCAGAUGCUGCCAUAUCACAGUGCAAUUGGAGCUAUCUGAACAUUGCACUGAUCAGAUGGAAAUAACGAAAUGAGUUGGUCCUUUCUGAUCAAAUAAAAACAUAAAUUUCUUCUUUUUGUAAGCAGAACGAGCAAUGUAAAACAGGCAACUAGCAAUAUACUGCUAAAAUCGGAGUCUGUAGCAUAUUUUAUGUCACAUGGCUGCAGGUGGGAUGGGAACUCGGGUGCCAACGCUGCAGCUUGAGAGAAUAAGGUGAUGCCUGUGCCUGGCUGGUUUUGUCUCUCCAAAGACAAAAACUAAAGCUGUUUGAGAAUAUUUCUAAUUGUUUCACACCAAAGAAAAAAACUGCUGCGCUCUUCAAAUUGAAGAUGCUGCAUCCAUCCAUCGACUUACCCAAUGCUGGAGCCCUUCAUCAUGUUGCUGAUGGAUCCGCUACCAACAUCAAUAAUCUAUCUACAAAUCAAUGUCACAGACGUUUGCCAUAUAGAAUAUUUUUUUAAUGUUUUCUCAUGUUGAAAAACCUAAGGUUUGUGCUAACCAUAAUAUGUACACAACCCACAA